rnacentral:lncRNA from 1 species
AGGAACAAAUUUUUCUUACAAUUAAGCUUAAUCUAAUCAAACCCAAUCCAAGUCAAACUGAAUCCAAUUCAAUUAGACUUGAUCCAAACCUCUUUGCUCAAUCAAAUUAAGUUAAUUAGCAAUCUAAUUGCUAAUAAUUUUUUUAUUAACAGUAGAGUCUCAAUCCAGUAAGACUCUCCUCCAGAGUCCCAAUCCAAUGGGACUCUUCAGCCAUCCGAUCAGAUCGAAUAUUCUAAUAUGUAUGACCCCAUAGGUUCGAACCUAAGUCGAUAAUAUAGGAAUAAAUUUUUAUACUAAUCGAUAUAAUCAUCUAGCAAUGAGACUCGACAUCCGGAUAGGUCGAAAGAUUGCAAAGCAAUAUUUUAAAAUCUACUGGUGUGUAGUUACCGUAUAAUUCAUCCCUUUAAUUCUAAUGCUCAAGGUGAUCUAGGAUUUAACUGUCAACUCUAAAAUAGUUAACCACAUUAUAUUUUAACCUUUCAAAUCCAUCAUAUGGGUUAUCCUGGCUAAGAUUUUACUAAAUUAAAAUAUACUGAUGUAUUAACUCUUACUUAUUCAGAGGGGUCAAUCCCAUCUUGACUCAUGCACCGACUUGAUAAGUACUUGACUGCAUCCAAAAAUCUUUCAUCACUGAAUUAAAAAUUCAGAUAGUCCGACGUCAAAGUACAGUGAGUUGCUUACAAGUCAUCUUGGUGAUCUCCAUUCGGAGAGAGACUUAUACCC